AGCCACGCUGUGAGCACGGAGCGAACUAUUACGUUGCCUUUUACCAAAUAAUACUGUGUGCUCGCUGCUUGAAGUGGCAUACGCCAAUUUUUGGGAGGGUCCCACGUUGUGCGGGGUC